AUGCUAUUGCGCAUGCGUUAGAAAAUCCAGCGAUGCAGCUCUGCAUGCUUCUACGUCUAGAGACUCUUUCUUUUCUGUUCCUGCUUCUUGUGCGGAUGCACGUGAGAAAGCAUCCUUUUUGUGAUUUCUCUCAAGAAAGCCAUGAGGUAUAACGAUUCCAAAUACUUAGAAAAUUAUCUGAAACUCUGGACACUUGCUCCGGACAUUUCCAGACGUCGUAAAAAAGAGGAUGGAUAGCAACCCUAGGUUGUAAAUCUUGAGGAAAAUGGCAUUUUUUAAAUUGAUUGAAGAUUUAUUAAGUCUCAAAUUUAUAAUCAAAUAGCAAUGAUUAUAGGUUAUAUUGAAGGGGGAAAUCUGGAAAGAAUAAAUCUUGAAAUGGGAAAAUUGUAUCUUGAGAUUCAAUAAAAGGUUAUCUUGAAGAAAAUAGCAUCUUGAGAUUCAAUAAAGGGCCAUAAAGUCUCCAAGGGAAUUAUGAGAGAUAUAUAUGCCAUUAUGAAAUUCUACGGAGGAUGGAAAACGCCAUAUUCCCCGUUCCGAAUUACAGCGAUUUCCGGCAACUGCGCCGGGCUGUUCAACGUUCACGGAGGUGGACCAGAAUCCCGUAGAAAUUAUGACAAUUAGCGCAAUUAAAAUUGGUUCGCGAUUAAUUUGAAUUUGCAUACCACCAUCAUAGUGGCCGCGUAAACACGCGAUAUACAAGACACCAUUUGCAAACAGCAUAUAUAAAUUAAUGUAUCUGUAUUAGAGUAUAUCAUGUACGCACAUCUAUGCGUGUUUUGCUUUCUCAUGAAAAUAUAUUUACAUAGAGUAAGAUGAUUGAAGCUUGAAGAAAA